rnacentral:rRNA from 1 species
UACAGAGGUGUCAAACGUUGUCCGGAAUUACUGGGCGUAAAGGGCGCGUAGGCGGCCUGGUAAGUAGGGGGUGAAAUCCUGCGGCUUAACCGCAGGGCUGCCUUCUAAACUGUCAGGCUUGAGCACGGUAGAGGCAGAUGGAAUUCCCGGUGUAGCGGUGGAAUGCGUAGAGAUCGGGAAGAACAUCAGUGGCGAAGGCGGUCUGCUGGGCCGUUGCUGACGCUGAGGCGCGACAGCGUGGGGAGCAAACAGG